UACGUAGGGUGCGAGCGUUGUCCGGAAUUACUGGGCGUAAAGAGUUCGUAGGCGGUUUGUCGCGUCGUUCGUGAAAACUUGGGGCUUAACUCCAAGCGUGCGGGCGAUACGGGCAGACUUGAGUACUACAGGGGAGACUGGAAUUCCUGGUGUAGCGGUGAAAUGCGCAGAUAUCAGGAGGAACACCGGUGGCGAAGGCGGGUCUCUGGGUAGUAACUGACGCUGAGGAACGAAAGCUAGGGGAGCAAACAGG
rnacentral:rRNA from 1 species